rnacentral:rRNA from 1 species
UACGUAGGGUGCAAGCGUUGUUCGGAAUUACUGGGCGUAAAGCGCGCGUAGGCGGGCUUGAAAGUUGAUUGUGAAAGCCCUGGGCUUAACCCGGGAAUGGCAGUCAAAACUUCAAGUCUUGAGUGCCUGAGAGGAUGGCGGAAUUCCCGGUGUAGUAGUGAAAUACGUAGAUAUCGGGAAGAACACCUGAGGCGAAGGCGGCUCACUGGCCCGAUACUGACGCUGAGGUGCGAAAGCGUGGGGAGCAAACAGG